rnacentral:misc_RNA from 1 species
GAUGAAGAACGUAGCGAAAUGCGAUAAGUAAUGUGAAUUGCAGAAUUCAGUGAAUCAUCGAAUCUUUGAACGCACAUUGCGCCCGCCAGCACUCUGGCGGGCAUGCCUGUUCGAGCGUCAUUUCAACCAUCAAGCCCCCAGGGGCUUGUGCUGGGGCCCUGCGGCUGCCCGCAGGCCCUGAAAACCAGUGGCGGGCUCGCUAGUCACUCCGAGCGUAGUAGUUACAUCUCGCUCCGGGCGUGGCGGUGGGCACCUGCCGUGAAACACUCUUUCUAAGGUUGACCUCGGAUCAGGUAGGAAUACCCGCUGAACUUAAGCAUAUCAAUAAGCGGAGGA